GGAUAAUUCCAUGGUGUCCUGCCAACAAAUCCAGGAUGGCAGAACUGGUAUCCAAAAUCGUGAUUGCUUUUCCCCCACGUAGCUGAGGUUGUGAUGCCAGGCUCUUUAAAAGCUAAAAAUGGUAUCCUUUUCUCAGAUCCAAACCUAAUCUCAUUGUUUGUAUUAGAGAUCAGUCAGAUCAUGUGUAUUAUUUAACAUUUAAGUAGUUU